CCUACGGGAGGCAGCAGUGGGGAAUAUUGCACAAUGGGGGAAACCCUGAUGCAGCGACGCCGCGUGAGUGAAGAAGUAUUUCGGUACGUAAAGCUCUAUCAGCAGGGAAGAAAAUGACGGUACCUGACUAAGAAGCGCCGGCUAACUACGUGCCAGCAGCCCCGGUAAUACGUAGGGGGCAAGCGUUAUCCGGAUUUACUGGGUGUAAAGGGAGCGUAGACGGCAGCGCAAGUCUGGAGUGAAAGCCCAUGGCUUAACCAUGGAACUGCUUUGGAAACUGUCGAGCUAGAGUGCAGGAGAGGUAAGCGGAAUUCCUAGUGUAGCGGUGAAAUGCGUAGAUAUUAGGAGGAACACCAGUGGCGAAGGCGGCUUACUGGACUGUAACUGACGUUGAGGCUCGAAAGCGUGGGGAGCAAACAGGAUUAGAUACCCCUGUAGUC
rnacentral:rRNA from 1 species